GCUAGCGUUGCUCGGAAUCACUGGGCGUAAAGGGUGCGUAGGCGGGUUUUUAAGUCAGGGGUGAAAUCCUGGAGCUCAACUCCAGAACUGCCUUUAAAACUGCAUCGCUUGAAUCCAGGAGAGGUGAGUGGAAUUCCGAGUGUAGCGGUGAAAUGCGCAGAUAUCAGGAGGAACACCGGUGGCGAAGGCGGGUCUCUGGGCCGAUACUGACGCUGAGGAGCGAAAGCGUGGGGAGCAAACAGG
rnacentral:rRNA from 1 species